rnacentral:rRNA from 1 species
AUGGCCAAUCUGUCAGACAAGAAUUCAGUGGAAUUAAGGUUUCUUGGAGAUCAUUUGGAUACACAGGCCGCACAUGGGAGUUCAUAUUUCUGCCUCGCAGAGUGUCUUGAUGAGUUGUUGCUUAUUAGCGCUGUUGGGGACUGCCCAGAGGAGUUUCAUGUUUUCCGGUGGCAGUCAAGGGAGGGGAAGUGGACAAGGACUACUAGCCUUGGUGACUGCACAUUGUUCUUGUCAUACUUUUACUUUGUAGGCCGUGUUGUUCCGACGAAAGGAAUGACAUGCUUUUCAGGUUAUUUCUUUGCAAGUUGCCUUGGUCCAGAUCAUCCAGGAGUUCGAAGGGACUGCAUAUACUUCACAGAUGCCAAAAGAAAGUGGAUCGAGUAUUCCUUGGCCGAUGGAUCUUGUGAGGAAUUUGUUGCUGAGAACUUAGAGGGAGCUGCAUUGUCCGAUUCUGAUUUCAGGCCACCUCUUUGGGUCUUUCCGAGCAUGUGUUGA